rnacentral:rRNA from 1 species
UACGGAGGAUGCGAGCGUUAUCCGGAUUUAUUGGGUUUAAAGGGUGCGUAGGCGGGCUGUUAAGUCAGCGGUAAAAGCCCGGGGCUCAACCCCGGCGAGCCGUUGAAACUGGCUGUCUUGAGAUGUCGAGAGGUAUGCGGAAUGCGCAGUGUGGCGGUGAAAUGCUUAGAUAUUGCGCAGAACUCCGAUUGCGAAGGCAGCAUACCGGCGGCGAUCUGACGCUGAGGCACGAAAGCGUGGGUAUCGAACAGG